rfam:Lysobacter capsici AZ78 unitig_0_1_merged, whole genome shotgun sequence.
GGUAAGGUAGCUCAGCAGGUAGAGCGGCGACGCGUGCGCAGGUCGUCGGUUCGAAUCCGACCCUUACGA